rnacentral:rRNA from 1 species
AUUGAACGCUGGCGGCAUGCCUGACACAUGCAAGUCGAACGGUAGCGGGCCUUCGGGUGCCGACGAGUGGCGAACGGGUGAGUAAUGUAUCGGAACGUACCAUUCAGUGGGGGAUAACGUAGCGAAAGUUACGCUAAUACCGCAUAUUCUGUGAGCAGGAAAGCAGGGGAUCGCAAGACCUUGCGCUGAUGGAGCGGCCGAUAACAGAUUAGCUAGUUGGUUAGGUAAGGGUGAACCAAGGCGACGAUCUGUAGCGGGUCGGAUAGGAUGAUCCGCCACACUGGAACUGAGACACGGUCCAGACUCCUACGGGAGGAAGCAGUGGGGAAUUUUGGACAAUGGGGGCAACCCUGAUCCAGCCAUGCCGCGUGAGUGAAGAAGGCCUUCGGGUUGUAAAGCUCUUUCGGCCGGGAAGAAAUCGUAUCAGCUAAUACCUGGUGCGGAUGACGGUACCGGCAUAAGAAGCACCGGCUAACUACGUGCCAGCAGCCGCCGCCGUAA